rnacentral:ncRNA from 1 species
UCGCAUGGCCUUGCGCUGGCGAUGGUUCAUUCAAAUUUCUGCCCUAUCAACUUUCGACGGCUGGGUCUUGGCCAGCCAUGGUGACAACGGGUAACGGAGGGUUAGGGCUCGACCCCCGGAGAAGGAGCCUGAGAAACGGCUACUACAUCCAAGGAAGGCAGCAGGCGCGCAAAUUACCCAAUCCCGACACGGGGAGGUAGUGACAAUAAAUACUGAUACAGGGCUCUUUUGGGUCUUGUAAUUGGAAUGAGUACAAUUUAAAUCCCUUAACGAGGAACAAUUGGAGGGCAAGUCUGGUGCCAGCAGCCGCGGUAAUUCCAGCUCCAAUAGCGUAUAUUAAAGUUGUUGAGGUUAAAAAGCUCGUAGUUGAACCUUGGGCUCGGCCCGUCGGUCCGCCUCACCGCGUGCACUGACUGGGUCGGGCCUUUUUUUCCUGGAGAACCGCAUGCCCUUCACUGGGUGUGUCGGGGAACCAGGACUUUUACCGUGAACAAAUCAGAUCGCUCAAAGAAGG